UAAAAACUCAGACCGUUAACCUGCGCUGAAAAGCACUGACCAGGAAUCAGUUUAGCCUCGGAAAAGCCAUGCAAGACUGAGAGAGGUCAGCAGUUACCACCGAACUGAGUCCAGUACUGGUAAUUGCGUGCAUUGUUCUUUGCCUGCGGGAGCACAGGGACCAGUGUGUUACAGAACGGCAUAGUUGCUAAGCAGAGAGCAGCGCAUGGUGGAGGUGUUGCUGUCGCUGCGGACCAACU